UACAGAGGUCUCGAGCGUUAGGCGGAAUCACUGGGCUUAAAGCGUGUGUAGGCGGAUCGGUAAGUACCUUGUGAAAUCCCACAGCUUAACUGUGGAACUGCUUGGUAUACUGCCAGUCUUGAGCCAGCUAGGGGCUACCGGAACAAAUGGUGGAGCGGUGAAAUGCGUAGAUAUCGUAAGGAAGACCAGUGGCGAAGGCGGGUCUCUGGACAGUUCCUGACGCUGAGGCACGAAGGCCAGGGGAGCAAACGGG
rnacentral:rRNA from 1 species